GAGGCAUUGACGAAAGAAAAAGUAUUGGAGAAGUAGCUUGCUUGACUUCGGUUCUUCAAUGGAGCGAGUGUACCUAUGACUUCAGAUUUUCCUCAGCUCUAGCCAACCUCCCGCAAGUCAUGUUCCAGGGUGAGCUAUUCAUUCAUGCUCGUGUUGGAUUCUUUCGGUCAUGACAUGAUGUCCUAUACUUUCGGACACAUACCAUUUUAUUCAUUUAUUUUGGUGCCUUUGAUACUCUUAGACUUAGUAGUUAGAGAUUAGAUGUCCUUGUUGUGAUGACUUUCAGGUUUUGGGAAACGAUAGUUAAUAAAUUUUGGAUCUUCCGCAAUAUUUUGUUAUUCACAGUUGAAUUAUUGGUACAUGUUGGGAUUUGAAUUU